CGAUGCUUCAUUCAAAUAUCUGACCCUAUCAACUUUCGAUGGUAGGAUAGAGGCCUACCAUGGUUCCAACGGGUAACGGGGAAUAAGGGUUCGAUUCCGGAGAGGGAGCCUGAGAAACGGCUACCACAUCCAAGGAAGGCAGCAGGCGCCGCAAAUUACCCAAUCCCGACACGGGGAGGUAGUGACAAUAAAUAACAAUAUAGGGCUCUUUUGGGCCUUAUAAUUGGAAUGAGUACAAUUUAAAUCCCUUAACGAGGAACAAUUGGAGGGCAAGUCUGGUGCCAGCAGCCGCGGUAAUUCCAGCUCCAAUAGCGUAUAUUAAAGUUGUUGCAGUUAAAAAGCUCGUAGUUGAACUUCAGACCUGGCCGGGCGGUCUGCCUAACGGUAUGUACUGUCUGGCCGGGCCUCACCUCUUGGCGAGCCGGCAUGCCCUUUACUGGGUGUGUCGGGGAACCAGGACUUUUACCUUGAGAAAAUUAGAGUGUUCAAAGCAGGCCCUAUGCCCCGAAUACAUUAGCAUGGAUAAUAAA
rnacentral:rRNA from 1 species